rnacentral:rRNA from 1 species
CUACGGGUCGCAGCAGUUAGGAAUUUUUUGCAAUGCGCGAAAGCGUGACAAAGUGAGUCAGAGUGUUUUUCAUAUGAAAAACUUUUGUGAAAUUUAAAAUGCUUCACGAAUAAGGACUGGGCAAGACGAGUGCCAGCCGCCGCGGUAAUACUCGCGGUCCAAGUCGCAGCCAUAUUUAUUGGGUCUAAAACAUCCGUAGCUUGCUUAGUAAGUUCCCUGUGAAAUCCUAUCUCUCAAGGAUAGGGCGAGCAGGGAGUACUGUUGAGCUAGAGACUGGAAGACGUAAGAAGUACGUUCGAAGUAGCGGUAAAAUGUGUUAAUCUCGGACGGACUAACAACAGCGAAGGCAUCUUACGAGAACGGUUCUGACAGUGAGGAAUGAAGGCUAGGGGCGCAAAACGGAUUAGAUACCCCUGUAGUC